rnacentral:rRNA from 1 species
GUUUAUUUACCUUGUUGCUUCGGCGGGCCCGCCUUAACUGGCCGCCGGGGGGCUCACGCCCCCGGGCCCGCGCCCGCCGAAGACACCCUCGAACUCUGUCUGAAGAUUGUAGUCUGAGUGAAAAUAUAAAUUAUUUAAAACUUUCAACAACGGAUCUCUUGGUUCCGGCAUCGAUGAAGAACGCAGCGAAAUGCGAUACGUAAUGUGAAUUGCAAAUUCAGUGAAUCAUCGAGUCUUUGAACGCACAUUGCGCCCCCUGGUAUUCCGGGGGGCAUGCCUGUCCGAGCGUCAUUGCUGCCCUCAAGCACGGCUUGUGUGUUGGGCCCCGUCCUCCGAUUCCGGGGGACGGGCCCGAAAGGCAGCGGCGGCACCGCGUCCGGUCCUCGAGCGUAUGGGGCUUUGUCACCCGCUCUGUAGGCCCGGCCGGCGCUUGCCGAUCAACCCAAAUUUUUAUCCAGGUUGACCUCGGAUCAGGUAGGGAUACCCGCUGAACUUAAGCAUAUCAU